AAAUGACUACAACAUAGCAUUAAUGCACCAGAUCUUAUUAGAACUCCGCAGUUAAGUGCACUUAGGAUAAAGUAGUACUAGGACAGGUGAUCGUUGGGAAGUCCUAGUGUUUUACAUUCC
rnacentral:rRNA from 1 species